rnacentral:lncRNA from 1 species
GUCUUUUUCAUGAGCAGUCAGUGCAAACCCACGGGACAAAGCUUUGUGAGAGUUUGGAAGUCUCCUCUUAUAUUUGAUGGCUAUCACUUUCUUCCGGGCUCUGAUGAAAUUGAAAUGUACCUUGCCACUAUUUCAAGGGCUUCUCUCUCUUUGGAAAUUAAGGUAUUUGGUUGUCCUCUGAAGUCAUCUCUCCAACGUGCUCAAGAUAAGUAGUUAUAAGGGUCCUUAAAAGUGGAAGCUGGAGAUAGAAGAGUCAGUGUCAGAGUGAGGCAACAUGAAAAAGAUUUGACUGGCUAUCGCUGGCAUUGAAGAGGGAAGGUGGACACCUGCCAAGGAAUGCAGGCAUCCUCUAGAAGCUGGAAAAGGAGCGCAACAUUGGUAAAACGGGAGCAGGCAGAUCUGGAAAAUGUUAAGAGAUCAGGUCCUGAUAACAUGACCCACGGAAGGAACGUUACCCACUUGGUCAUCAAGCAUGGUGAGUAAUGCAAGUUGAUAACUGAAAAUGGUCCACAGCACUCUGACUUCCCAUGCAACUUUCAGACUCAAGUCUUGCUCAUCUAGUAAUUAAACUGCUGAAUUCAAUGAUAGAACUGAAAAACACUUUAAUGGAUAUACCC